CCUGAUGCGCAGCUACCAUGCAGUCGAGCGAGCUCUUCGGAGCUAGCGGCGGACGGGUUAGUAACGCGUGGGAACGUGCCCUUCACUGCGGAAUAGCCACUGGAAACGGUGAGUAAUACCGCAUACGCCCUUCGGGGGAAAGAUUUAUCGGUGAAGGAUCGGCCCGCGUUAGAUUAGAUAGUUGGUGGGGUAACGGCCUACCAAGUCUACGAUCUAUAGCUGGUUUUAGAGGAUGAUCAGCAACACUGGGACUGAGACACGGCCCAGACUCCUACGGGAGGCAGCAGUGGGGAAUCUUGGACAAUGGGCGCAAGCCUGAUCCAGCCAUGCCGCGUGAGUGAUGAAGGCCUUAGGGUCGUAAAGCUCUUUCGCCAGAGAUGAUAAUGACAGUAUCUGGUAAAGAAACCCCGGCUAACUCCGUGCCAGCAGCCGCGGUAAUACGGAGGGGGUUAGCGUUGUUCGGAAUUACUGGGCGUAAAGCGCACGUAGGCGGAUCAGAAAGUUGGGGGUGAAAUCCCGGGGCUCAACCCCGGAACUGCCUCCAAAACUCCUGGUCUUGAGUUCGAGAGAGGUGAGUGGAAUUCCGAGUGUAGAGGUGAAAUUCGUAGAUAUUCGGAGGAACACCAGUGGCGAAGGCGGCUCACUGGCUCGAUACUGACGCUGAGGUGCGAAAGUGUGGGGAGCAAACAGGAUUAGAUACCCUGGUAGUC
rnacentral:rRNA from 1 species